rnacentral:rRNA from 1 species
UGCCAUGCAUGUCUAAGUAUAAGCUUUUAUACGGCGAAACUGCGAAUGGCUCAUUAAAACAGUUAUAGUUUAUUUGAUGGUCUUUACUACAUGGAUAACCGUGGUAAUUCUAUGGCUAAUACAUGCGCACAUACCUCUUCCCUCGUGGAAGGGUAGUGUUUAUUAGAUACAGAACCAACCCACCUUCGGGUGGUCCCUAGGUGAUUCAUAGUAACCGAACGGAUCGCAUUAUGACCUUUUUGGUCGGCGAUGGAUCAUUCAAGUUUCUGACCUAUCAGCUUUCGACGGUACUGUAUUGGACUACCGUGGCAGUGACGGGUAACGGGGAAUUAGGGUUCGAUUCCGGAGAGGGAGCCUGAGAAACGGCUACCACAUCUAAGGAAGGCAGCAGGCGCGCAAAUUACCCAAUCCUGACUCAGGGAGGUAGUGACAAGAAAUAACAACACUGGAAAUUCUAUUUCUAGUGAUU